UGGAAAAACGCCCCAAAAAUGAGUGUUUUGAGGGGAAAAUGGGGUUUGGGAGCUCAAAAAUAGGGGGGUUGACCCCAAAAUAAGGGGUUUGGCCCCAAAAUAAGGGGUUUGGCCCCAAAAUAAGGGGGUUUGACCCCAAAAUGGGGGAUUUUGAGCCCAAAAUUGAGGGGUUUGACCCCAAAAUGGGGUGGUUUUGACCCCAAAAUAUGGGGUUGUGACCCCAAAAUGGGGGAGUUUGACCCCAAAAUGGGGGAGUUUGACCCCAAAAGGGGGUGUUUUGACCCCAAAAUAAGGGGGGGUUUUGACCCCAAAAUGGGGGGUUGUGACCCCAAAGUGAGGGGUUGGACCUCAAAAUAAAGAGGGUUGUGACCCCAAAAUGGGGGGUUUGACCCCAAAAUCUGGGGUUGUGACCCCAAAAUCGAGGGGUUUGACCCCAAAACCUGGGGUUGUGACCCCAAAAUGAGGGGUUUGACCCCAAAAAUGUGGGGUUGUGACCCCAAAAUAUUGGGGAGUUUGACCCCAAAAUGUGGGGUUGUGACCCCGAAAUCAAGGGGUUUGACCCCAAAAUGGGAGGUUUGACCCCAAAAUUGGGGGGUUUGACCUCAAAAUCUGGGGUUGUGCCCCC